GGACGAACGCUGGCGGCGUGCCUAAUACAUGCAAGUCGAACGAGCUCUCCUAAAUUGAUUUUAUGCUUGCAUAAAUGAUUUUUAGAUUCGGAGCGAGUGGCGAACUGGUGAGUAACACGUGGGUAACCUGCCCCGAAGCGGGGGAUAACAUUUGGAAACAAAUGCUAAUACCGCAUAAUUAGUUGGAACCGCAUGGUUCCAACUUGAAAGAUGGCUCUGCUAUCACUUUGGGAUGGACCCGCGCCGUAUUAGUUAGUUGGUGAGAUAAAAGCCCACCAAGACGAUGAUACGUAGCCGACCUGAGAGGGUAAUCGGCCACAUUGGGACUGAGACACGGCCCAGACUCCUACGGGAGGCAGCAGUAGGGAAUCUUCCACAAUGGACGAAAGUCUGAUGGAGCAACGCCGCGUGAGUGAUGAAGGUUUUCGGAUCGUAAAACUCUGUUGUUAAAGAAGAACAAGUGUUAGAGUAACUGUUAACACUUUGACGGUAUUUAACCAGAAAGCCACGGCUAACUACGUGCCAGCAGCCGCGGUAAUACGUAGGUGGCAAGCGUUGUCCGGAUUUAUUGGCGUAAAGCGAGCGCAGGCGGUUUUGUAAGUCUGCUGUGAAAGCCCUCAGCUCAACUGAGGAAGUGCAGUGGAAACUACAAAACUUGAGUACAGAAGAGGAAAGUGGAACUCCAUGUGUAGCGGUGAAAUGCGUAGAUAUAUGGAAGAACACCAGUGGCGAAGGCGGCUUUCUGGUCUGUUACUGACGCUGAGGCUCGAAAGCAUGGGUAGCGAACAGGAUUAGAUACCCUGGUAGUCCAUGCCGUAAACGAUGAAUACUAGGUGUUGGAGGGUUUCCGCCCUUCAGUGCCGCAGCUAACGCAUUAAGUAUUCCGCCUGGGGAGUACGACCGCAAGGUUGAAACUCAAAGGAAUUGACGGGGGCCCGCACAAGUGGUGGAGCAUGUGGUUUAAUUCGAUGCUACGCGAAGAACCUUACCAGCUCUUGACAUCUUCUGCCAACCCAAGAGAUUGGGCGUUCCCUUCGGGGACAGAAUGACAGGUGGUGCAUGGUUGUCGUCAGCUCGUGUCGUGAGAUGUUGGGUUAAGUCCCGCAACGAGCGCAACCCUUAUUAUUAGUUGCCAGCAUUUAGUUGGGCACUCUAGUGAGACUGCCGGUGAUAAACCGGAGGAAGGUGGGGACGACGUCAAAUCAUCAUGCCCCUUAUGAGCUGGGCUACACACGUGCUACAAUGGAUGGUACAACGAGUCGCGAAACCGCGAGGUCAAGCUAAUCUCUUAAAGCCAUUCUCAGUUCGGAUUGCAGGCUGCAACUCGCCUGCAUGAAGUUGGAAUCACUAGUAAUCGUGGAUCAGCAUGCCACGGUGAAUACGUUCCCGGGCCUUGUACACACC
rnacentral:rRNA from 1 species